rnacentral:rRNA from 1 species
UACGAGGGGGGGCGAGCGUUGUUCGGAAUUAUUGGGCGUAAAGGGUGCGUAGGCGGCCUGACAAGUCUGGUGUGAAAUCCCUGGGCUCAACCCAGGGCCUGCAUCGGAAACUGUCGGGCUUGAGUAUGGGAGAGGUGAGUGGAAUUUCCGGUGUAGCGGUGAAAAUGCGUAGAUAUCGGAAGGAACACCUGUGGCGAAAAGCGGCUCACUG